AAGCAUAUCAAUAAGCGGAGGAAAAGAAACUAACAAGGAUUCCCCUAGUAACUGCGAGUGAAGCGGGAAAAGCUCAAAUUUAAAAUCUGGCAGUCUCUGGCUGUCCGAGUUGUAAUCUAGAGAAGUAAUGCCCGUGCUGGACCGUGUAUAAGUCUCCUGGGAUGGGGCGUCAUAGAGGGUGAGAAUCCCGUCUUUGACACGGACUGCCAGUGCAUUGUGGUAUGCUCUCAAAGAGUCGAGUUGUUUGGGAAUGCAGCUCAAAAUGGGUGGUAAAUUCCAUCUAAAGCUAAAUAUUGGCGAGAGACCGAUAGCGAACAAGUACCGUGAGGGAAAGAUGAAAAGAACUUUGGAAAGAGAGUUAAACAGUACGUGAAAUUGCUGAAAGGGAAACGCUUGAAGUCAGUCGCGUUGGCCGGGAAUCAGCCUUGCUUCUGCAUGGUGUACUUUCUGGUUGACGGGUCAGCAUCAAUUUUGACCGCUGGAAAAAGGCCUGGGGAAUGUGGCAGCUUCGGCUGUGUUAUAGCCCCUAGUCGCAUACAGUGGUUGGGAUUGAGGAACUCAGCACGCCGCAAGGCCGGGUUUCGACCACGUUCGUGCUUAGGAUGCUGGCAUAAUGGCUUUAAGCGACCCGUCUUGAAACACGGACCAAGGAGUCUAACAUGCCUGCGAGUAUUUGGGUGGAAAACCCAAGUGCGUAAUGAAAGUGAAAGUUGAGAUCCCUGUCGUGGGGAGCAUCGACGCCCGGACCAGAACUUUUGGGACGGAUCCGCGGUGGAGCAUGUAUGUUGGGACCCGAAAGAUGGUGAACUAUGCCUGAAUAGGGUGAAGCCAGAGGAAACUCUGGUGGAGGCUCGUAGCGAUUCUGACGUGCAAAUCGAUCGUCAAAUUUGGGUAUAGGGGCGAAAGACUAAUCGAACCAUCUAGUAGCUGGUUCCUGCCG
rnacentral:rRNA from 1 species